GGUAACACAGAACUAGAGGCUGGUCGCUCCGCCCUUGUGCUCCAGUCGCUGAGCCGACUAGAGUUUGGGUUUCGCGGCACCCCUUAAUCUACUCAGAUCGCGGCCUCUGGGCCCAGGUAUGUGCUGUGUGCGAAGUCUCUUCAGUAGUGUCCGACUCUGCGACCCCCAUGGCUCCUCUGUCCAUGGAAUUUUCCAGGCGAAUUCACCACUGGUCCACAUGGGAAUCCGGUGCAAGCGGCUGAAUGGUUGCAGCCCUGAGGAUUUCCCAGGAGGUGUACACUACUUGUGGUUGCCAUUUCAGAUAACAGGCCCAACUUGGAGAAAUUCAGCACCUCUGUUCAAAAAGGUUUUAACUACAAAGUCAUCUUCAAUUUGUGCAACGACAGAGGGCCAGGAUAGUAACUGAACCAGGAAUGGCUUCUCUCCUGUGGCCGCAGUUUCUCCUGGGAGCUGAAAAGCAUUUUCAACACCAUGGAAACAUGACAGAGAAUUCCCGGCCCCCACAGCCCACAGCCUCUGCUGCACUGCUCAGUCCUCCCGUGUUUCCCCAGCAAUUGUCUGAACUGCCUGAUGUCAUGGUAUUUGCCGUCCUCCUCCUGUCCCUCCUAGAUUCAUGCUCUACUCAUCCUACUAUCCCAACGGUGUCUUCCAAAAUCUCUUAAAUCCCAUGGCCCCCAAAGACAGGUGUGAAUAAUUGGCACCGGAGACCUACCUGUUUGUAGACUUUGUCUGUAGAAACUGAUGUGGGUUUCUAGCCCCCAGAAAAUUGUACUGACAGGUGCUUCCACUUGAUGCAAUUAAAUGGGUCUUCUGAAAAUCAUGUCCUCUCUGUAGACAAAGGUAUCUCCCGCUGGGAUAAUCUCAUCUCACCUCAAACCACAUUUCCUCAAACACACCCCAACCUGGGUGGACACACAUCCAUCCACACCUGCCAUAACUGCUUGUCAAAGGGGAAGCCAAGUCAGGCCUCAGUCUGGCACUGACUUCUCUGAGCGCUCAUCUAAGAAAAGCUGUCAGGAAGCUAGCAUUCCUGCAGACCCACUGUGUGCCGUGUUCGUCACAAUCAUGAUCUUAGCCUGCCAGCAACUGUUCAAGGUAGUUAGCUCUUACCCUCUUUGUACACGUAAGGGAGCUAAGGCUCAGGGCUUUGGGUGACUUGCCUCUGGUCAUGCAGCUGGGAAGCAGUAGGAAUUGGAUUUGGACCCAGAUAUAUUUGACUCAAAAACCUCUAUGCUGGUAGAUGUAUUUCCCCACCUUCCUCACAUCAGUCUCUCCCCAGAGAAGAGCUGUGGCUCCACUGGUGACUGGCUGUUUCCCUUUUCUCUCCCUUCUCUCCCCUUCCUCCCUUCACCCCUGCAUCCCCACUAGUGAGUUGUAAUGUUGGAACCUGGGGAUUGAGAGGUUCCAAAAAUGGGGAGUCAAGCCCAUCAGUCCCUCGUUCAUCCCACUGUGAGUCUGGGAGAUCAUGUGAUUAUUUUUCAGAUGACACCCGUGUUCUCUGCAGAGGCACAGACUGAAAAGAAUUCAUAAGAGGAUUUUCAGAGCAUGUGUUUGUGAUGGGUUUGGUUGUAUGCACAGCGUGCAGAAUUUAUGAGCAUUUAAGAAAUCAGCCCCCACUGCAAAGCACCUUCAGUGCUUCUCCCAAAUGCCAGUUCCCCAUGAUGCCAAGGUGCCUCUGCCAAAUCAGAGGGCGUUUAGAAAAACAACUUCAUGGAAUAUGUGCAGAAUAAUGUGAUAGGAAGAGGAGCAGCCUAGCCUCUGCCACUGAACGCAGAGUCCAGCUUGCCCACUGUGCCGUCUCUUCCUCUCCUUUUCCGAGUCUGGCUACUGAGAUCUUUCUCGUGCACACUCAGGGAUCCUGGAGGAUGAGUGAGGCCCGUGUGUCAGUGGUGCCAUUUGUACAAAACUCAGAACAUCCAAGACACACAGUUUUAAGACUCAGAGACUUGAGUAUAAAUCCUCCUAGGUUCAGUGGGAUUUCCCUGGUGGUCCAGUGGUUAAAACUCUGGGUUUCCAAUGCACAGGGGGUGGGUUCAAUCCUUGAAAGGGAACUAAGAUCCUACAUGCCACACAGCCAAAAAUAAGUAACCAAAUCCUAGUAGGUUCAAUGAGACAAAAUGGCUCAAUGUUGUCUUAUGACUGCACCAUCCCUUUUAUCGGAUUUGGCCUGAAUGAAACCUGCCAUGGAACCCAGGACAGUUUCUGAAAAUAAAUAGUGCUUAGGGAAGGUCUAAAUCUUUGAGGGGUAUAACUACAAAGAUCCUCUAAAGAUUCGUGGCAGGGUGAAAAGACUUCUUUUACAUCAGUCUUACUCUCUGACCACCCCAUUCAACCUGCCAGGAGAAAAACCUACGGAUUACAGAACACUUAUCUGGUGCUUAGACCACACAUUGUCAGUUAAUUCCAGAAAUCUCCAGAGUGCAACAUGAAACGAGAAGGGAAGGAAUCCUAAGGAUAGAAUUAUAAUAGACAAGAAAUGAAGGCAGCCUUUUGUUUAUGUGAGGAAUAGUCAUCUGUUCAUUGAAAACUGAAGGAAAUGAAUUCUCACUGUGGGGAAACGUAUUUGUUCUCAAACUGCCUUAGAAGGAAACCAGCAACAACACAGGCUGAAGCCCCUCCCCUGCUAACAUUCUGCACUAGUCAGAGAAACAGAACCAACGGGGUGUGUGUGUACAGAGAGACUAAGAAAUUAGCUCAUGCAGGGACUUCCCUGGCGGCCCAGUGUAUGAGAAUCUGCUUGCUGAGGCAGGGGACACAGGUUCAGUCCCUGGUCUGGGUAGAUUUCACAUGCUGUGAGCAAGUAAGCCUGUGCACCACGAUUUCAGAAGUCCGUCCUCACGCCUGGAGCCCGUGCUGCACAACAGGAGAAGCCACUGCAGUGAGAGCCCUCCCGCCACAACAGAGAGCAGCCCCUGUCAGCCACAACUAGCCAGAAAGACCCAGUGCGGCCAAAAAUAAAUAAAUAAAAACCACAUCUUUAAAAAGCUUUAAAGAAACGAGCUCGUGUGUGUGUGUGUGCAAGUUGCUCAGUCGUGUCUGAUUCUUCGCAGCCCCAUGGA